rnacentral:rRNA from 1 species
UGGGGAAUUUUGCACAAUGGGGGAAACCCUGAUGCAGCGACGCCGCGUGAUUUAGAAGGCCUUCGGGUUGUAAAAAUCUUUUCUAUGGGAAGAAAAUGACAGUACCAUAGGAAUAAGGACCGGCUAAUUACGUGCCAGCAGCCGCGGUAAUACGUAAGGUCCGAGCGUUGUCCGGAAUCAUUGGGCGUAAAGGGUACGUAGGCGGGUAAGCAAGUUAGAAGUGAAAUCCUAUAGCUCAACUAUAGUAAGCUUUUAAAACUGCUCAUCUUGAGGUAUGGAAGGGAAAGUGGAAUUCCUAGUGUAGCGGUGAAAUGCGCAGAUAUUAGGAGGAAUACAGGUGGCGAAGGCGACUUUCUGGCCAUAACCUGACGCUGAGGUACGAAAGCGUGGGUAGCAAACAGG